ensembl:lncRNA
AACCCAGCCCUUCAUUGCCACCAUCACACCACAAUCCGGGCUCCCUAACACCACGCACACUGGAGAAGGGGGAGGUUAUUCUGUCCCCAGACAGUCAUGGUUUCUUGGAAGAUCUCACAAAUGUUUCAAAUAAUUGUCUGACUGGCUGCAACCGUGAUGUUCGUUGCUUUGGGGAGCCUGCGGCUUGGCCAUAUACUGAGGUGACACCCAUAUGAUGAACGGAGCACAGACUCUACGACAGCUGGAACUAUCUACUGGCAUACCAUGUGAUAUACAGCACCAUGAAACAGUAGAACUUCUCUAAUAUCUUUACUGAUAAAUAUACAUUAUAAAACUCUGCUGCCU